GCAGUCGAGCGGACAGAAGGGAGCUUGCUCCCGGAUGUUAGCGGCGGACGGGUGAGUAACACGUGGGUAACCUGCCUGUAAGACUGGGAUAACUCCGGGAAACCGGAGCUAAUACCGGAUAGUUCCUUGAACCGCAUGGUUCAAGGAUGAAAGACGGUUUCGGCUGUCACUUACAGAUGGACCCGCGGCGCAUUAGCUAGUUGGUGGGGUAAUGGCUCACCAAGGCGACGAUGCGUAGCCGACCUGAGAGGGUGAUCGGCCACACUGGGACUGAGACACGGCCCAGACUCCUACGGGAGGCAGCAGUAGGGAAUCUUCCGCAAUGGACGAAAGUCUGACGGAGCAACGCCGCGUGAGUGAUGAAGGUUUUCGGAUCGUAAAGCUCUGUUGUUAGGGAAGAACAAGUGCGAGAGUAACUGCUCGCACCUUGACGGUACCUAACCAGAAAGCCACGGCUAACUACGUGCCAGCAGCCGCGGUAAUACGUAGGUGGCAAGCGUUGUCCGGAAUUAUUGGGCGUAAAGGGCUCGCAGGCGGUUUCUUAAGUCUGAUGUGAAAGCCCCCGGCUCAACCGGGGAGGGUCAUUGGAAACUGGGAAACUUGAGUGCAGAAGAGGAGAGUGGAAUUCCACGUGUAGCGGUGAAAUGCGUAGAGAUGUGGAGGAACACCAGUGGCGAAGGCGACUCUCUGGUCUGUAACUGACGCUGAGGAGCGAAAGCGUGGGGAGCGAACAGGAUUAGAUACCCUGGUAGUCCACGCCGUAAACGAUGAGUGCUAAGUGUUAGGGGGUUUCCGCCCCUUAGUGCUGCAGCUAACGCAUUAAGCACUCCGCCUGGGGAGUACGGUCGCAAGACUGAAACUCAAAGGAAUUGACGGGGGCCCGCACAAGCGGUGGAGCAUGUGGUUUAAUUCGAAGCAACGCGAAGAACCUUACCAGGUCUUGACAUCCUCUGACAACCCUAGAGAUAGGGCUUUCCCUUCGGGGACAAGUGACAGGUGGUGCAUGGUGUCGUCAGCUCGUGUCGUGAGAUGUUGGGUUAAGUCCCGCAACGAGCGCAACCUUGAUCUUAGUUGCCAGCAUUCAGUUGGGCCUCUAAGGG
rnacentral:rRNA from 1 species